rnacentral:rRNA from 1 species
AUUGAACGCUGGCGGCAGGCCUAACACAUGCAAGUCGAACGAGUGGCGGACGGGUGAGUAAUGUCUGGGAAAAUGCCUGAUGGAGGGGGAUAACUACUGGAAACGGUAGCUAAUACCGCAUACCAUCAGAUGUGCCCAGAUGGGAUUAGCUUGUUGGUGGGGUAACGGCUCACCAAGGCGACGAUCCCUAGCUGGUUUGAGAGGAUGACCAGCCACACGGGAACUGAGCCACGGUCCAGGUUCCUACGGGAGGCAGCAGUGGGGAAUAUUGCACAAUGGGCGCAAUCCUUAUGGAGCCAUGCCGCGUGGAGUAAGAAGGCCUUCGGGUGGUAAAGUACUUUCAGUGGGGAGGCGUUACCCGCAGAAGAAGCACCGGCUAACUCCGUGCCAGCAGCCGCGGUAAUUC